rnacentral:lncRNA from 10 species
CUUGACCAGCCUGAUUGGUUGCAGGAGGGGACCAAUCAGAGGUACCUCCCAUUUUUCAUCUGCAGCCCAAUGCAAAGUAAUGACAUGGAUCUGGAGAGAUUCUCUUAGGAGAGAAUCUGGCUAAGUGUCUAGCAGGAUGAUUGAUUAACAAGAUGUUUUGUUUUCAUCAUCUCAGAGAUAAGUACAACUAUUCUGUCAUCUAAUCUGCUAACUCCUACAUUAUCAAUACGGUAGUAAUAAAUUAUGAAUAAACAUAAAAUAUACAGAGAUAGAAACUGCAAAUUUAUUUCAGAGAGCACAGUUAAGGGACUGAUUUUAUUAUUUACACUGAAUUAUAAGCACAAUUAUUUCCUCCAACUAUAACCACAGAAAGCACUUUAAAUUAGGAUGCUUGGGCUGAACAGCCCAGAAAAUCUACUAGCCAGAAAUUGAGAUGAGCCUGUGGAUAGAGUUUUAGGUCAUGC